rnacentral:rRNA from 1 species
UACGUAGGGUGCGAGCGUUGUCCGGAAUUACUGGGCGUAAAGCGCGCGUAGGCGGCUUUGUAAGUUAGAGGUGAAAGCCCGGGGCUCAACCCCGGAAUUGCCUUUAAGACUGCAUCGCUUGAAUCCGGGAGAGGUGAGUGGAAUUCCGAGUGUAGAGGUGAAAUUCGUAGAUAUUCGGAAGAACACCAGUGGCGAAGGCGGCUCACUGGACCGGCAUUGACGCUGAGGUGCGAAAGCGUGGGGAGCAAACAGG